rnacentral:rRNA from 1 species
GAUGAACGCUAGCGGCAGGCUUAAUACAUGCAAGUCGUGGGGCAGCAUGAGUAGCAAUACUUGAUGGCGACCGGCAAACGGGUGAGGAACACGUACACAACCUUCCUUCAAGCGGGGAAUAGCCCAGAGAAAUUUGGAUUAAUACCCCAUAAUAUAUUUGAUAAGGCAUCUUAUUAAUAUUAAAGCUUCGGCACUUGAUGAUGGGUGUGCGGCUGAUUAGAUAGUUGGCGGGGUAACGGCCCACCAAGUCUACGAUCAGUAGCUGAUGUGAGAGCAUGAUCAGCCACACGGGCACUGAGACACGGGCCCGACUCCUACGGGAGGCAGCAGUAAGGAAUAUUGGACAAUGGACGAAAGUCUGAUCCAGCCAUGCCGCGUGAAGGAUUAAGGUCCUCUGGAUUGUAAACUUCUUUUAUAUGGGACGAAAAAGGGCAUUCUUGUUCACUUGACGGUACCAUAUGAAUAAGCACCGGCUAACUCCGUGCCAGCA